UUAACAGAAACUAUGAUGAAAAAUGUUUGUCAACGACAUUUUUUCAAUGACUAAGACGAGACAUUGACUAACUAAAUAUAGAUCUUCAAUGAUAAAAAAUUAUGACGAAAUGUAUGUCUUGUUUUUAUUGACGAGACAGGACCAAAAUGUUAAGUCUGAAGAUAAAAUAAUAUUAAACUAGGGCUGAAUGUUUUGGGGAAAAUAUCUAAUUGCGAUUUUUUUUGACAGAUAUUGCGAUUUGAUUUGUGGUUAUAUGUACGCGCCUGCACCUCUUUAGCGGCUCCUGUGUAGCUUGUGUGUGUGUUUAGCCCUGUAAGCAGAACAGCUCUGAGACUGCAGCCUCGCUCCACUCACAUUGUAUGGGCACUGACUUUAGUUCAGAAGCGCGAAUAUCGAAUUCUUCCUUUGAAUCUUGACUCAGUACACAGAACCUUGAACCGGAGAAUCAGUUGUUGGCGCUGUUGUUGUGAACACACUGCUGUCGCAGUUGACAGCGUCUUUAUGUAUUUACUGUCGCUGCUCCACUGCGCUGAUCAGCUGUUUAAUCAAAACACUGAACGUAACGCGUAUCCAGCACUAAGCGUUCUUGGUCCCUUAUCAACACACAUGACAAGUGUGAGGCUGAUAAAAUGAAAGGUACUCGAGGUAUGACAGACAGACAGAUUUCUUGAUUUAUGUGCAGGAUUAGUAAAAAAAAUGUAUCCAGCAGUGGGGAGAACUUUAGCCUCUCUGCUGCCCUUACAUAUAAAAUGUCAGAAAAGAGCCUUUGGCCUUUUUCACUUAAGGCUAUGAACGGUGAGUUUGGCAUUUAGUUAAAGUGGUUGCAAGGCUUAACGAAUGGCAAUGUCUGAUGAUCAUCAUUAUCACAAAAGAUGGCUGUUUCAGUUGAAUACUUAAAACAUCAAUGCUGAAGCAUUGGAUAGGACAUGUAUUCACGUUUUAAAUAUUUCAUCCAAAGUAUUGUAUAUCUGGCAAAACAAAUGUUACAGAUAUAUUUCAAAUGAAUAUUGAACCCUACAUUUGAGGUUGUUGAAAUUAACUCUUGUGGAAAUAUGUGUCUGGUUUUGCAGCAAGUUUGUGUGUGCACUCAUCUGCUUAUUAGAUCAAUGGCAAAUGUCAGCGACAGUCUAGACUGCUUGGACAAUCAAGGCUCAUUUUCCAUGCUACUGAUGUAGAAAGCAGACCUCCGCUGAGCCAACAGGAAAAAGCCAUCUGCCUCCAUCAGAUGCAUUGAGUGUUAGCACAAGUUCCUCCCCUUUAAAAUGCCACAUACCCAAAUCAGGCCUAACAGUGAUCUAGCAGAUUAGCACUGCACAGCACGAAGGUUCUGUGUUAGAACCCGACGGCUGGACAAGUUUGCAUGUUCUCCCUGUAAAUGGUAUAUGGUGAAUGGACUGCAUUAAUAUACACAAAUAUCUAGCUCUGUCAGUCACCCGUUAGGGGUCCCAAGUUUCAUCCUCUGUAUAAUCUAAUUGAUGCCUAUUUAAACUAAAAUAUGAACACAUAAUGUGAGCUGGAUGAAUAUGAGGUGAACAAAUACUUGCUGCAGACAUGAUAGUGAGGAGGACUACCUCCUUUGGCUGUUGCUGAGCAGAAUCCACUGCAUACUAUUCUGGUGCUCCCCUGCCAGGCAUGAAUGAUUUAUAUCCACAGCCAUCAUGUCCCAAUACAUUAUGACACUGAAACAGCUGCAAUCAGCUAUUAACCGCUCAACUUAUUUUGUCAUGUUUUGCACAAAGCAGCUAUUUGCAACUGAAAAACUAUCAUUCUCUGAAGGACUGAUCUGGAGACUGAAGCAGCCUCAUACACUGCUAGAUAUGGUCUUUAGAUAUCGUGUGUCAAGUGCCAUCCAUUUACACAGGUAGUGCAUCCUCUGGGAACCAUGCAUGUAUGAAAUGUUGUGUCAGUUAAGAUAAGAUAAAUGUUAAAUAUGUAAAGAUAUUUGCAAUCUUGUUAAUUCAGAACCUUAAAAAAAUCCAGAAGUCUGAGGCUGUGGACAUCACAUAAGGGGAGCAUUCCUAAGAGCGCUUCUCGUGAACACGGUAGUUGAUUUUCAAAAUCCCCUGCAAAGUUCCACCCGCUUUGCCCGCAAUGUCCCCGCUUCCUUCAGACAUCUGUCCAAAGCCACUCAACCCCACAAUACAUGAACGUGCACUGCCUGACUGCAUCGGAGGAGGAAUCCUCGAGCGGAGCACAACAUCGCUACCUGACUGCUCGUGGCUCAUUCAUAAGCCAGAAUUCGAGGAAUGACCUUGGAGCAGUGACGUGACACAAGCCUGCUCUUUAACUACACCUGACAUCAGCAGAUGCUGCGCCACCGGGCCGUCCCGUUGCAGGUCAACCUACUUGUGCCUGCCAGAACUGACCGAAGACGUGGAAAGAAAGUGCUGUGGGCAACUUUAUGACUCCUGUGUCCAAGCUGCCACAUAUGGAGGUUUACAUUUUGCACAUACAGUAUUUUGUGCAAUACCAAUGUUUAUUUAUUUAUGAAUGUUCAGCAUAACCAGCUCUAAAUUGUUGGAUUAAAAAUCUUAAAUGUUCAAGGCCUUUUCUUUAUACUCACAGCAUAAACUAACAUUACAUUUACCUCUUUACAAGCUGCAAAAUAAUGUGAACACAAUGUGUCAUGACACCGGUUUAUUUUUUGGGGAAAUACAAUAUAACAAAUAUAUAUGUGAUAAUAUUAGCAUAAACAACAUAUGUACAAAAAAAGGAAGAAACUGUCUGCACAGGGUAUCCUAGCUUUUCAGUGUCAUAGCAGGUCUGUCGGCUGACGACUCUUAGGCAAUGGUCCUGUAGAAAGAAUAUCACAAUAACAAAUGUGAAAGACUGACAACAUUACAGCAGCAUUAUUUAA